ACUUUAUUUUAAAACAGAUGUUUCCCAGAUCUCAUCGAUGACAACUCCUAAAUCCUUUUCUUAUUUUCAAUUUCUCCAUCUUAAAGAUAACUCAUAUCCCUAGAUUUUAGGGAUUUAUGGGUUUUCAAAUAAUAGCUAAAUCGACCUUAUAGAGAUCAUAUCAACGCAUGGUUCUUUUCUCUUCUAUCAACGCAAGGUUUUAUUUUUAAUACGCACUAACGACAUCACGAAAUCAACUAUUCCAGAUGAGAUGAAGAAGAAUGAAGCUUACACAAAGAUUAUUUAUGUGAUGAAGAGUACACAUAUUGAUAAUGUGAAGCCUAUAAAGCAUUUGAUUUACUUGAAGGAUGAUUAGUUACCAUUAUAUGAUCGCUCUACACAGGAUUGGAAAGAAUAGGGUUAAGGAGGGGCUCGAGUUCGUUUGCUGAGGCUCAUACUGAAGGGUUCACCGAAGAAAAUAGGACUAUUGGGUGAGAUUUAUCCCACUAUCUCUGGUAGUGACUUGGUUCCUCAGAAGGUGCUCUAUGUGGUAUCGGUGGUAUAGGGAAGACUACAAUGAUGGAAGAACUGAAGUAGGUUGUAACGAAUAGGAACCUGUUUAAUCGGGUUGUAAGGGUGGUUAUCGGGAAUAGUAUUGAUCCAAUUGCAAGCCAAGAAGCUAUUGCAUAGUACGCUGGAGGAAAUCUGUUCCACAAUCAACUAAAGAAGCGAGGGCUAAUCAUCUUAAGGAUAAAUUUUUGGGUAUGUCCGAAGAUGGCAAGAAAAAAGUUUGGACUACAUUGGACGAUCUUUGGAACGUCAUUGACCUCAAAGAUAUUGAACUAGCAAGUCCGUUGCCAAAGGGUUUCAAGUUAUUUCUCACAUCGCGAGAUGAAAGGCUUUGUGGUCAGAUGGGUGUCAAAACCAGCUCAAGCUCGAGAGUGGAUGUUUUAGAAGAACCAGGAGCAAAACAUUAUUUUUGGGAAACUAUAGGACUUUCAGAUGAUGGUGCUGUUGAUAAUCAAGAUUUUCUGAAUAUCAAAAUCUAAGGUUUCUGUCUUGGUAAUUUGCUGCAAGUUGGGGCUUUAAAUUGGAUUUUGUUGUUGCAGCUAGAAUUCGCAAUGUAUUGGAAACAAGUCGAAGCUUCUGAUUUCUGUUUUUGUAGAACAUUGAAUGGUAACCGCAAGUAUCGGCUCCGCCAAUCUGUUAAAAGUAGUUUUGAAAGUAAUUCGAGUCAAAAUUUUCCUAUUUAAUAAAAUUUUAGUACAUCAUUUUGUGAAUAUUUACAAAUCUGAAUUUUUUUUUAUUGUACAAUUUAUAUGAACAUCUAUUAUAUUACCCCGUAUAUAUAAUAUUUAUUCAUUUUUCGUUA